rnacentral:rRNA from 1 species
CGGAAAGGAUCAUUCAUAAUAAGUGUUUUAUGGCACUUUUUAAAUCCAUAUCCACCUUGUGUGCAAUGUCAGUCGGUUUUCUUUUUCGUCAAGAAAAAAGGAUCGACCAAACAUCAACUUAUUCUAAUUGAACUUUUGUCUGAAAACUAUUAUGAAUAAACUAAUUCAAAAUACAACUUUCAACAACGGAUCUCUUGGCUCUCGCAUCGAUGAAGAACGCAGCGAAAUGCGAUACGUAAUGUGAAUUGCAGAAUUCAGUGAAUCAUCGAAUCUUUGAACGCAUAUUGCGCUCUUUGGUAUUCCGAAGAGCAUGCUUGUUUGAGUAUCAGUAAACACCUCAAAACUCUUGAUCUUUUUCAAGCGUUUUGGACUUGAGCAAACCCAACGCCUUUUCUUUUAAGAUCUGUUGCGGCGGGUUGCUUGAAAUGCAGGUGCAGCUGGACAAUCUCCUGAGCUAAAAGCAUAUUUAUUUAGUCCCGUCAAACGGAUUAUUACUUUUUGCUGCAGCCAACAUAAAGGGAGUUUUGACCAUUAUGGCUGACUGAUGCAGGAUUUCACAGAGAAAAGGCCGGCAACGGUUUUGUCUCUGUCAAACUCGAUCUCAAAUCAAGUAAGACUACCCGCUGAACUUAAGCAUAUCAUA